rnacentral:rRNA from 1 species
AUGGUUGAACAAAUAAAUAAUUGUCUCUUUUUUAAAUUUUGAAUUUAACUUUUAAGUGAAAAGGCUUAAAUAAUUCAAAGGGACGAUAAGACCCUAUAAAUCUUUAUGUAAAUAUUUGUUUUUGUUAAUAAGUUGUUUAAUAAUUUAAAAAUAAAUAUUGCAUUGUGUUGGGGAGACAGAAGUAUAAAUAGUGUAACUGCUUGUGUUUAAAUACUUAUAAUAUUUGUUUAUUUUUAAAGAUCCUUUUGAAGAUUUAAAGAAUAAGUUACUUUAGGGAUAACAGCGUUAUUUUUUUUGAGAGUUCUUAUCGAAAAAAAAGUUUGCGACCUCGAUGUUGAAUUAAAAUUUCUUUAUAAUGUAGCCGUUAUAGAAGAAGGUCUGUUCGACCUUUAAUAUUUUACGUGAUCUGAUU